CCUACGGGUGGCUGCAGUGGGGGAUAUUGCACAAUGGGGGAAACCCUGAUGCAGCGACGCCGCGUGUGGGAAGACGGUCCUCUGUAUUGUAAACCACUGUCCCCAGGGACGAAGAUGACGGUACCUGGGGCGGAAGCUCCGGCUAACUACGUGCCAGCAGCCGCGGUAAUACGUAGGGAGCGAGCGUUGUCCGGAAUUACUGGGUGUAAAGGGAGCGUAGGCGGGGAUGCAAGUUGGGGGUCAAAACUACCGGCUCAACUGGUAGUCGCACUCAAAAUUGGAGCUCUUGAGUGAAGUAGAGGCAGGCGGAAUUCCUAGUGUAGCGGUGAAAUGCGUAGAUAUUAGGAGGAACACCAGUGGCGAAGGCGGCCUGCUGGGCUUUUACUGACGCUGAGGCUCGAAAGUGUGGGGAGCAAACAGGAUUAGAUACCCCUGUAGUC
rnacentral:rRNA from 1 species